AUGUUACUUGACCAUGACGAACCUACGAACUAUGAGGAAGCGAUGAUGAGCCCAGAUUCGGCAAAAUGGCUUGAGGCCAUGAAAUCUGAGAUGGGAUCCAUGUAUGUGAACAAAGUGUGGACUUUGGUUGACUUGCCCGUUGAUCAGCAAGCCAUCGAGAAUAAAUGGAUCUUCAAGAAGAAGACUGACGCUGAUAGUAAUGUUACUGUCUACAAAGCUCGACUUGUUGCAAAAGGUUUUCGACAAGUUCAAGGAGUUGACUACGAUGAGACCUUCUCACCCGUAGCGAUGCUUAAGUCCGUCCGAAUCAUGUUAGCAAUUGCCGAAUUUUAUGAUUAUGAAAUUUGGCAAAUCGAUGUAAAGACUGCAUUCCUAAAUGGAUUUCUGGAAGAAGAGUUGUAUAUGAUGCAACAUGAAGGUUUUAUCGAUCCAAAGGAUGCUAAAAAAGUGUGCAAGCUCCAGCGAUCCAUCUAUGGACUGGUGCAAGCAUCUUGGAGUUGGAAUAAACGUUUUGAUAGUGUGAUCAAAGCAUACGGUUUUAUACAGACUUUUGGAGAAGCCUGCAUUUACAAGAAAGUGAGUGGGAGCUCUGUAGCAUUUCUAAUAUUAUAUGUGGAUGACAUAUUAUUGAUUGGAAAUGAUAUAGAAUUUCUGGAUAGCAUAAAAGGAUACUUGAAUAAGAGUUUUUCAAUGAAAGACCUCAGUGAAGCUACUUAUAUAUUGGGCAUCAAGAUCUAUAGAGAUAGAUCAAGACGCUUAAUUGGACUUUCACAAAGCACAUACCUUGAUAAAGUUUUGAAGAAGUUCAAAAUGGAUCAAACAAAGAAAGGGUUCUUGCCUGUGUUACAAGGUGUGAAAUUGAGUCAGACUCAAUGCCCGACCACUACAGAAGAUAGAGAGAAAAUGAAAGAUGUUCCCUAUGCUUCAGCCAUAGGCUCUAUCAUGUAUGCAAUGCUGUGUACCAGACCUGAUGUGUGCCUUGCUAUUAGUUUAGCAGGGAGGUACCAAAGUAAUCCAGGAGUGGAUCACUAG
rnacentral:rRNA from 1 species